GCUACAGGUUUCGAUUCCUGAUUCAAUCACAGGCACAAGCUUCCCUGCCCUGUCUCAUCAUCGGGAGCACCUGGUUUUCCGGGAUUUCUGUGCUGCAGCAGGGCAAAUCCUUUUAUAAGGCUAAUGAAACCUCAUCCAUUGGUCUGAACGCAGUCGUGACCUUAUUGCAUAUGACCUGCAGCCCUACAAUAUCAUAGUAGUGCAGGGAAGUGUUGCCAUACCAGCCCAAGAAAGAA